CUAUGCGACGACACGUUUCUUGAGUUAACAAUAAACGCGAAACAUUUAUGACUUGGUUUUGUUAAUUUAUGAGCUUUAAAAAUUGGACGACUAAAUAUUUAAAGACUUUCGCCAUCUACUUUCCUUCAACAAUCAGUUUACUUGAGAUCAGCGCAAUAAGCGUACUGAAAAAAGUGCUUAACAGCUUAUCUAACUGCGUGCAGUGGUUUCUGCUAAAUUUAAAAAAUAAGAUGUCACUGGGGCCUAAAAGUUUUUGUCUGACGAUUGGCGUUCUAUUUUUUGCCGUCUUUACGAGUAUUUUGACAGUUAGAGCAAAUUCAAUUGGAGUUCAAACAGAAAAGCCAACGGAUCGAUUGAUUGUGGAAGAUUGGGGAGGUUAUAAUACAAAUAUGAAUACAAAUAUGAAUACAAAUAUGAAUACAAAUACAAAUAUAAAUACAAAUAUAAAUACAAAUAUAAAUGGUAAAAAAUAAAUAAAAGCAAAAAAAUAUUAAGUAAGUAA